GAAGCCGUCCGCGGCCCCCACCCCUCCCGCCUGGCUCGGGCGCCAGGAGAAGCGGACAUUUUAGCCUCCUCUGCAAUCCGCUCUCUCGUUCGUGUCCUUCUCCCCCCUCUCGUCCGGUAGGGCCGGCAGUGUAGAUUUCCCCAGGGGCGGGGGUGGGAUCUGAGCAAUCACUCGCCCUCCCCCCUCCCAGGGGCGGGGAGGGGGUGAUUUAGGGAGGACUCCACGGGGCCCAAAGGUUCGCACCGCCCCGCCGCGGCCCAGCCUGCAGAAGCCCCCCGCUGCCGCGGCGCCCCCGCUCCCCGCCCCGCGAGGCGCGCGCAGCUGCGCCCGGGCCUGUCCUCGCUUCACCCCCACUCUGCCCCUUCGGUAUUUCUCAAUGACCGGCGCUCCGAGGACACUUCCGACGCGGAGGGAGGGGGUGUCAUUAGCGCUCGGUUAUCAGUUCCUUCCGGUCUCCCCGAGCUCAACCCUGCGCGCGGCCGGGCCGCGCCUCGGGCGAUCUGGUGCCUUUAUUAUGAUGUUUAAGUAAGCAGUCGUGUGUGCCAAGUGAGUUUGUAGCCCAGCUGUCUCCCCCAAGCCCCGCUGGCAGGAAUGGAAACCCAAGCUCUCUCGUAAUGCAGGGGAUGAUGCAAACUUAGAAACUGACCCGGCGCCCGGGAAUGAGGCCCCCCCGCCCCGGGCGUGCGGCGGCCCAGUCGGGGCAUGAAUGGCUGGAGCCCGAUUGCAUAAUCCGCGCGGUAUAAAUAGCCGGCGGGCGGGCCGCUGACGCGCUCGGUUGUGCCGUUAUCGUGCAAUGCUUCAUCCCCGGUGCCGUUCAAUCCCAGGUCGUUUUCCCUUUCAGCUGCAAUGCCGGGAUUUUAAAUAGCAGAGAUGAAAGGCCCCUGCCCCCGCCUCCCUCCUCCCCUGAGUUCAUGUAUUAUGAAUGAAACGGCAGCCUCGCUGCUUCCUGAGGUGCUCCACUUCAGGUUGGAGUGCAGUGGUGCUGUGUCUGGAGUUUGUUCCUGCCGUUGGGUUUGUGGUCUUGCUGACUUCAAGAAUGAAGCCACGGACCUUCACGAGAAAUAUUACGUUGUAUGGAUGUACCACUGUUUGUUUAUCCAUUCUUCAGGUGAAGGACAUGUGGGUUGUGCCCAGCGCGGGCUGAAUAAAGCCAUCAUAAUGUGAAGAAGCCGAAGCAGCCUGUGAAGAGGCGCUAGUGGAAAGGAACUCAGGUGCCCCUGCCCUCAGUCCCAGCUGAACUCUCAGCUGACAGCCAUCACCAACUUGCCAGCCACAGGAGUGAGCCAACUUGAGAGUGGAUCUUUCAGUCCCAGUGGAGCCAUCUCAGCUGACACACCAUGGUAAAAAGAUGAACCAUCCUUGCUGAUCCUUGCCAGUGCUGCAGAUACAUAAGCAAAAUAAAUGUUUUUGUUGUUUUAAGCCACU
rnacentral:lncRNA from 10 species